AAAAGAAAAAGAAAAAAAAGAAGAAGAUAAAUCUGGAAGCAAAAAAAGGAAAGUGCAGUGACGAUCUCUCUCCUUAGCUCCAAAGCUUUCCAAUCCAAGAUACAUCUGAAAUUUGUUGGUGUCACAAAUCGAAGGUACCCGUUCUUAAUUUGAAGUUUUUUCUUCCAUUUCUUUCCUUUCCAUCGCUGAUUUAAUGUUUUUUGCUCUUGAGAUCUGAAAUGAUGGUGAAGGUGCCGCUGUAAUUUGUACUUGUUCAACCCAAAUCGAAGAUGUAUGCAUCUUAAUCAUUGAUUUCUCAGAGACCACAAGAUUUAAAAGUCUUUCUUUAUCUCUUAAACUGCGUACCCAAUGAAACUAUAUCACAUAAAUUGGGACGCAGGGAGUACUAGAGAGAGUCAAGGAAGAUGCUCUUCCUUUCCUUAAGAGAUUGUACCGGUUCAUCAAUGACAUAACAUAGAUAUACUUUCUUUUACAUUGAAGUGAGUGAAUACAGAAGAGAACGGGAGAAGAAUGCACACUGGUGUCUUAGCAGCCUAAGCUGACUAAGAAGAUUAUGAAAAAUGGAACGCUGACAUUUUACGGUUAUUAGAUUAAUUAGAAAUGACUGUUGAUAAGGUAAAAAAUUCUACCUUUUCAUUGUUUCUCAAUAUUUUCUAUUAUCUCCUGCAAAGAUUAUUCUUUUGCAGGAAAUAUUGCUGCGUGGUUGUGUAAAGGAUCGUUAUUUAGAUUCAUUAGAUGUACAUAAUCAGUUUUUAUUUU